rnacentral:siRNA from 1 species
CUUUUAACAGAUGUGCCGCCC